rnacentral:rRNA from 1 species
UACGGAGGGGGCUAGCGUUGUCCGAAGUUACUGGGCGUAAAGCGCGCGUAGGCGGGUUGGUAAGUCCGCUGUGAAAGCCCGGAGCUCAACUCCGGAGGGUCGGUGGAUACUGCCAGUCUUGAAGGUGCUAGGGGGAGAUGGAAUUACCGGUGUAGCGGUGAAAUGCGUAGAUAUCGGUAGGAACACCAGUGGCGAAGGCGGUCUCCUGGGGCAUUCUUGACGCUGAGGCGCGAAAGCUGGGGGGAGCGAACAGG